GCGAAGAGUUCUUUUGACAGCCGUGAGCUUCCCCGGCAGGAACUUACUGGGGCUGCAUCACCCUAGAAACAUGGCUUUGGGCUGUGGAAACGCUGCUGCCGUGGAAGUCUCUCCUCGCGGGGGUGGACGGGGCGCUGCGCGCCCAGCGUCCUUCUGCGGUUCUCCCAGCCCGUCGCCGCCUCCACCUCGGGGACCUUUGCGGGGAGGCCUCGGGUCAGCCCCGCCCUUGGGAUGGCGGGAGAGCAAAGCGGACCCAGGGCCUCUGAGCUCCGGCCCCGACACGUCCCGCCGUCUCCUCCGCUUGCGGGAGCCGGGGCGCCUCGGAGGGAAACGUCCGGACACAGGCCGGGGGAAGAGGGGCCGUGGCGCCAUCGCGCAGCUUCCUGGUUUCGGCCAUGUUUUUUUUUUUUUUUUUGAGACGGAGUUUCGCUCUUUUUGCCCAGGCUGGAGGGCAAUGGCGCCAUCUCGGCUCCCUGCAGCCCCCGCCUCCCGGGUUGAAGGGACUCUCCGGCCUCAGGCCGCGGCGUUUUUGUAAACUGGAACCGGCCUGUGCGCCAAGCGCGGCUCCCGCGGCUGCGGAGAGAGGCCCAGCAGGGGGCGGGGACGCCGCGAGGCGGGGCCUGGCCGAGCUGCGCACGCCCGGGUGGUUCUGGCUACGGGUACCCGGACCUGCCCAACGACAGUUCUCCAUUCCCGACCUCCGCACCCUACCCGGUCCGCAGGGCACUUUCCUCCUCUCUCCCAGGCACGUCCUCGACCUCAGUUGCCACGUGCACAUGCUGGUGCCUUCCAGGUCGGUCUUUCUCCACCAGUCUCCACCUGCAACUUUCUUCCUUUUCGUCCUGUGCUGGCCUAACCCCUGCUCGGCCUCGGCCCUCAGCUGCCAGCUCUAACAAUGCCUCUGUCUUUCCGAGACCCCCGUGACCAGCUCAGGCUCUGCUCCCUGCUUCCCUCCCCGCCUCCCCGGGGCUUCCCCAUCAGUGUGGAUUCCGACCUCAUAAGGACCAGUCUAACGCUCUCUGCUGGAUGGAAGCGCAAAACGGACCCUCUCACUCUUGCCUUAUCCCCAGCACCAAGGAGGGGCUCAGAGUGGGACUGGUGGCUUCUUAAGAAGAGAAAGAGACCUGAGGAAGCACACUGAACCCCUCACCAUAUGAUGCCCUGUACCACCCCGAGACCGCAGCGUCCCCACCAGCAAGAAGUUUCAGGUAUUCUGUUAUAAGCAACAGAAAACAAAGUAAGAUAGGCACCUAGGCUUUGCCAUCCCCUAACGUCCUAAGAAAGGGGAAAGAAAAUGGGGGCGCAUGAAGAGGACAUAGUCAUGGACCUAGCAUGCUGGAGUAUACUGGCAUGAUCAUAGAUCACUGCAGCCUCAAACUCCUGGGCUCAAGCGAUCCUCCUACCUCAGCCUCCAUAUAGCUGGUGGGAACCAAGUUUCUAACACAUGAAUGUUGGGAGACACAUUCAGACCAUCGCAGUGGCCUUAUAAAAAGAGACACAAGAGCUUGCUCUCUGCCAUGUGAGUAUACCACAAGAAGACUGUCCUCAGCCAAUCAGAAAGCGGGUGGACCCUCAUCAGACACCAGAUGUGCCUGCACCUUGAUCUUGGACUUGCCAGCCUUCAGAACAGUAAGAAAGAAAUGUGUGUUGUUUAAGCCACCCAGUCUAUGGUAACUUGCUAUAGCAGCCCACUAGGAGACCCCAAGAUAUUUAAAAACUCAUCAGCACCUGCUUUCUGCAUCUGGACCCUGAUCUUCUGGUGGGUUUACCAGUUACUUGUAGAGUGUCCCUGUGAUAGUUUUAGGUGUCAACUUGACAUGAUUGAGGGAUGCCUAGAUGGCUGGGGAAGCACUGUUUCUGAAAAGGACCAUGUUUUUGGAGGAGACUGUUUUAUGAGUGAAUUUUGGGGGACACAUUCAGAUCAUGGCAGUGGCAUUAUAAAGAGAGACACAAAAGCUUGCUCUCUCUGCCAUGUGAGACUACCACACAAAGACUGCCAUCUGCAAACCAGAAGCAGGUGGGCUUUCCUCAGACACCAGAUCUGCCUGCACCUUGAUCUUGGACUUGCCAGCCUUCAGAACUCUAAGAAAGAAAUAGUAGCAUGGCUUGGUCUAAGUUGGAAGGCCUGAGAAACAAGCACAUGGUGGAACUGAGUUCAAGGAUAAAGACUUGAGAAUACCUGCUCAGUGGACUGAGUAGGGAAGAUCAACCCUCAAUGUAGGCAAGCACUAUCCAAUCACCUGAGGGCCCAGAUGGAACAAAAAGGUGGAAGAAGGGUGAAUUCUCUCUUCCAGAGCUGUGACACCCUUCUCCUCAUGCCCUUGUACCACACAACUCUAGGUCCUUUGGCCUUUGGACUCUGACACUUGCACCAGUGGCCCUCUGGGGCUCUCAAGCCUUUAGCCUUGAACUUAGUUACACCAUGUGCUUCCUUGUUUCUCAGGCCUUCCAACUUGGAUCAGGCCAUGCCACCAGCUUCUCUGAUUCUCCAGCUUGCAGAUGGCAUAUUGUGACCCUGGCAUUUAAUAACUAUGACUUUGGUCUUAAGCAGUUUUCUUCCUCUGUGGAUUGAUAUUUAGAUAUCAAGGUGGAUAAUAAUUUCUUACCAAGGUAACUGUUGUGAGGUAAAAAUGAGUUAACAUAAGUAAAACCGAGCACAUGCAAACCAUCCGAAAUGGUUAAUACUUACUAUUUGUACUUGAAGAAAUAAAUGUUUUUGACAAUAAACUUCUUGUGCAGUUUUCCUCA